AAUGAACGCUGGCGGAGUGGUUAAGACAUGCAAGUCGAACGGGCUUUUCUGAGGUAGCAAUACUUUAGAAGAGCAAGUGGCGAACGGGUGCGUAACACGUGAACAAUCUACCUUUAAGUGGGGAAUAGCUCGUCGAAAGGCGAAUUAAUACCGCAUGUGGUCAGGUCUCGCAUGAGAUUUGAACUAAAGUCAGGGACCGCAAGGCCUGACGCUUUUAGAGGAGUUCGC
rnacentral:rRNA from 1 species